AGCUCCAAUAGCGUAUAUUAAAGUUGUUGCAGUUAAAAAGCUCGUAGUUGGAUUUGUGGUGUGUCCGGCCGGCCCUCUCUUUUAUUAGUGAUGGCGCUGUGCUGGUCUGCCAUGUUUGGGUGGAAUCUGUGUGGCAUUAAGUUGUCGUGCAGGGGAUGCCCAUCGUUUACUGUGAAAAAAUUAGAGUGUUCAAAGCAGGCUUAUGCCUUCUGAAUAUGUUAGCAUGGAAUAAUGAUCUAGGACCUUGGUACUAUUUUGUUGGUUUGCGCACUGAGGUAAUGAUUAAGAGGGACAGUUGGGGGUAUUUGUAUUCCAUUGUCAGAGGUGAAAUUCUUGGAUUUUUGGAAGACAAACUACUGCGAAAGCAUUUACCAAGGAUGUUUUCA
rnacentral:rRNA from 1 species